rnacentral:rRNA from 1 species
UACGAAGGGGGCUAGCGUUGUUCGGAUUUACUGGGCGUAAAGCGCACGUAGGCGGAUCGUUAAGUCAGGGGUGAAAUCCUGGAGCUCAACUCCAGAACUGCCUUUGAUACUGAAGAUCUUGAGUUCGGGAGAGGUGAGUGGAACUGCGAGUGUAGAGGUGAAAUUCGUAGAUAUUCGCAAGAACACCAGUGGCGAAGGCGGCUCACUGGCCCGAUACUGACGCUGAGGCACGAAAGCGUGGGGAGCAAACAGG